rfam:Mus musculus chromosome 10, GRC primary reference assembly.
GGGGAGGUGGCUCAGUAGUUAGAGCUCUGGCUGCUCUUGCAGAAGACCUGGGUUCAAUUCCCAGCAUCCACA